rnacentral:lncRNA from 1 species
GGGUGGUCUUGAAAGGAGCGACUCUGGUUGCGAUCCGGCCGAGCGAGCAGCCCAAGAAGGAGGUGGCGGGAUCGGAGGCAAAUUGGGUUGCAUCGGCAUUUGAGGAGCCAUUUGGGACUGCUGCAAGGAUGUUGGUGAAGAGGAGGACCUACUGCCUCGAAAUGAACUCUUUCUGAAGGAGGGGCCUUGUUUGAGAUGAUGAGACAGAUGCAUGAGGUACUUCCCUUUUUUAUGAUGUGGUUGAAUGCUAGGAGUAUAUUGUAUUCUCUGUUUUCUGUUGCUUUUUUCCCAUUCCCUUCGAAGUUAUAUUAUCAAUUAUCUUGUUUAUUGUCUCUUGUUAGUUUAUUCUUGUUAAUGUUUCAAUGAUAGUAAACCGCUCUGUGUAGGUUUCUGAAAAUCAUGGGUGUCAUAUUCUUGAUUAAUAAGUUCUGUUACCAAUUGCAUAUGGUUUUGCACUAAAUUACACAUUGGAUCCCCUAUUACAUAAGAGAGGUGCUUGAAGUAUGUCUUAAUCUAAAUAGUUUUGCCAGUCUGGUUCCAAUAAUUUCCUGAUAUUAGAGAUAUUAUCUUGCAUUCUGCCAUAUUUCAUGCUAUUUUCUUGGUUCUUCAUCUGUUUUGAAAUUUGAUUGUUUACAAAUGAAGAUGCUUGUUGUAAUACUGUUUCAUUGGUUCUGCAUCUUAUCAAUUGAGGUUGGAAGGGCACCGUCUAUCUCCAUUUCUAGAAAGCUAGGUGAAAUUUUCGUUCCGUUGUGAUGCAUCUGUCAUCUGGCUGGGACAUUGUGAAUGCGUUGUGAUUGUGAUUAUGGCAAACCAAUACGAAGUUGAAUGACUUAAGAGUUCUGCCAUGAUAACCUUUUAAUGUCUUCCAUUUCUCAAUUAACGUUGUAAGCUUGUUAUUAUUCAUGCCUAAGCUGCUAUGCCCAACCACUUUCUCUGUUCACGGAUUUCGCGUUUGCACUCUAGUUUUUGGGGAAUUCUGUGCUGCCACUGCGAUAUUGUCAUCUCUUAUAAGCUCUUCUUUCUUUAAAUACUGAUCUUUUUCUCCCUAAUCUAUUGGUAAUUCUGAUUUCUUUGUUCUAUACAAGGAUCUUUCAGGUAGAGUGUGGCAACGGAAGGUCCCAAAAGCGCAGAGCACGAAUUUUGUCUUGAGCAGAGCAAGCUGCAAGCCAGUUGCCGGCCAAGUUCAUACGGCUUCCGGUUACGACGUUGGUGGUUGAUGAAGAGCCUGCAAUUGAUGAUCAAACUGCUUUCAUUUUGAAUACUUUAAAGAGGGGGGGUGCUAUGCAACUGGAUAAUCAUGUUGUAAGAGUUAUGAGAUUUUGAUAAUCUGUCUGUGUUAGUUAUAUGUAUAUGUGAAUAUUGUAGGUAUGAUAUGACCAUCUAUGCUUAUCUGCUCUCCUUUUUCUGAAAGGUUCAGCUGCAUAUUAUAUUUUAGCUGAUUUACCCACCAAUAAAUGUCAAAACGCCUCUUCAUUUCUAUUAAUCAAGGAUAUUUUGUAGUUCAAUCUUCAUUUGUUUAUUUCUGCUAGGGUAGCAAAAUGAUUUUAUUUACUCAAUUCUUCGAUAUUUUUUCUAUGGUAUUAUCCUUUGAUUGUGACUGCCAUUUUCUCCACACCCUUCUAUUCUUCAUCAAUCAUCACUGCGCUAUAUAAUUAAAAGGACUAUAAAACAAAAUGAACAUAUAAAAAUAGUUGAUAUUAUAUGCAAAACCCUACUAUUCUUUUUACGGAGACUACGAAGUCAAAAAACAUAAUUAAUUUUGAAAAAUUAUAGUACUCUUUUCAGUAUACAAAAAAUUUGUCAUAUAUAUAUUUUUUCCGAUCUGUUCACGAAAACAUGUUAUUUAUAUUUAUAAUAGUAGAGUUCACACAACUUCACACACAUUAAAAUUGAGACUCUAGCUCUAUUAAAAAUUUUAUUCGCAUUUUAUUAAAAUUUAUGCUAUCUAUAAUGUGACAAUUUUUUUUGUGGACAGAUGAAUAGGUGUAACAAACGGAUUAUGUAAUUACUACUCCCCGUCCACGAAAAAUAAAAAUACUAGUUUCUUUUUAUUAUUUUGGGGUAUCCACGAAAAUUGAUCUCUAUACAUUAUUGAAAACUUUCUAUCAAGUGGUGAACUAUUUUCGCUACUCACAAUACAAUUAAUUAUCAUUAUUAAUAUUAUUUUUUUAAAUGAGACUCCUCUAUUUGUGAUACACUCAAUUAUUUUUAUUAAAAUUUGUGUCAUCCUCUUCUAUGACUAUUUUUUUGUGGACAAAUAGAUUAUUUGUGAGUAUAUUUUGGUAAAAAAAAAACGGUUGAAAACUUGAAAUCACACAUGUAUGAAUCAUUGAAUUGGAUCCUCUUCUUCAAUAUCAAUUCAGUGAAAUCUUGGAGACUCGAAUUAUUAGUGUUAGUAGGUAAAAAUGCCCACUUUGUUAAGUGUAAAAUUAAAAAUCUCACUUUUUAUAAAAACUUGAUCAUAUGCCCAAAUUAAAGUGAUGAAUCGAAAUUAUCCUUGGAUGUUGAUGAUUUUGCAUCAACUUUUGUGUAACUUUUUCUGAUACAAAUACAAAUAUUUAAGAAAAAUAUAAGAAAAAGUAGUCUGCUGUCGGAAAAGUAGGUUGUCACUCGAGCGGCAACCUACUUAGUGAGGUUGCCGCUCGUACGACAAGCUACUUUUUUGACCGGUAAGCUACAUUUUUAAUUGAAAAUUUUAAUUUGUUACAAGAAAAAGUAGGUUGCCGCUCGGGAGGCAACCUACUUAGUGAGGUUGCCAAUCGAGCGACAACCUACUUUUCCGACAACUGACUACUCCCUCCGUCCGCCAAAAAUAUGACACUUUGGCUGGGCACGAGAUUUAAUAAAAUUGGUAAUAAUGUUGAUGUAGUGGAGAAAUGGUCUCACAAUUUUAUGAGAUGUGUGGUUGAAAUUGAAUUUGAGGUGAAUUUUUUGUAAAUAAAGAGUGUUUGUAAGGAUAAAAUAUAAAAAUGGAUGGUGGGACCAUUGCCUUAAAAGGAAAGUUGUAUAAUCUUUGCGGACGCCCAAUAUAGUAAUUGUGUCAUACUUUUGGCGGACAUAUGAGAUAUUUUUUAUCUUACAAGUACACUGAUUGAGACAUGAAGGGUAGUUUAGGUAUUUUGAGUAUAUGAUUAAGUUUUUAUAAUAUGUGGAUAUUUUUAAUUUUUGACUUAACCAAAUAGGCAUAAAAAAUUCCGCCUCCGAAUUAUUAGUUACUAGAAAAUUAAAAGAGAAGAAAAGAAAAAAGAAGAAAAGAAAAUACUAGUAUAAUAUAGAAAAAAUACAGUAUAAAAAUAAAACGGAACGACAGGCAGCAAUGUCGUUUGGGAAUUCAACUGUCCCAGGCUCCGCAUAUCUACUGUCAUAGGCUCAUAGCCAUAGGCACUUAAAAAGCAAAGAAAAAAAAGAAAGAAAAAAACGAGAAGAAAGAAAAACACGCACAACACACACCACACCACCAUUUUCCUCUUCCUCCUCCUUCACUCACUUCUCCCAAAUUCCCCCCACCUCAUUAAACUCCCACCCUAAUUCCACAAAUCCAAACUCUCUCCCUCUCUCUCUCAGAUCCAUUGAGUUUGUUUGACUCAAUUUCUUCCUUCACAUCUUUCUACCUAAACUCGCUUGAAAUCACCUUCCGAUUCUCGUGUAUCUGGUGCCAACUUGUUGGGGGUGUUUUGGCUCAAGAGCUCGAAUUGUCGCUGAAAGCUAUGGCUUCGAUUGGAGCAGAUCUGUGCCGCAAAAUCUACCCCGAGCCGGUCGACCACUUCGAUCGGUUGCCGGACUCUCUCAUCCUCUUGAUCUUCAAUAAAAUCGGAGACGUGAAGGCGCUGGGCCGAUGCUGCGUCGUUUCGAGGCGGUUCCACUCGCUCGUUCCCCAAGUCGACAACGUCGUAGUCCGCGUCGACUGCGUCAUCUCCGAUGACGAUCCUUCCUCCAACUCUUCUUCGUCCGCAUCCGGUUCCGCCGCCGGCGACAAGUCGCGCCACCCUAUCUCCUCCCUCUUCCGCAUCUUCUUCUCCGGGAUCUUCAAACCCUUGCAGUCCCUGUCUCAGCUCAUCACCCCCUCGGCGCGCCGGCUUCCUCUUUCGGAGGUAUUUCGACUGCGAAGCGGAGCAGAGCACCGUCACACACCAUUCGCCGACGCAGGUCUUGAAGAAUUCAACGAGAUCAAGCUGCUCAGGAUAGAGCCUCCCCGACGGGGGAGCUGGGGAUUGAUGAAGGCGUUUUGCUCAAAUGGAAGCGGAAUUCGGCUCCACGCUUGACAGCUGCGUGAUUCUCGGAGCUUCGAGCGUCGUGCAGAGUGCAAAUAGCGGCUACAAUUGCCUGGGCGCUUGCAAUACCGCAAUUGGUGGUGAUAGUGGAGUGGAGAACGAUAAUGGUAGCAUACCGGAAUCGUUCUACACCAACGGAGGCCUGAAGCUGCGCGUUGUGUGGACCAUCAGCUCGUUGAUCGCCGCCUCCGCCAGGCAUUACCUUCUGCAGCCUAUAAUAGCGGAGCACAAGACGCUCUCGAGCUUGGUUUUGACGGAUGCUGAUGGGCAAGGGGUGCUGUCUAUGAAUAAGGAGCAGCUGGAGGAGCUGAGGGUGAAGCCUCUGUCAGCGUCGUCGGCUUCGAAGAGGACUCUUGUUCCGGCUCUCAACAUGCGUUUGUGGUAUGCUCCUCAUCUCGAGUUGCCUAACGGGGUGGUCUUGAAAGGAGCGACUCUGGUUGCGAUCCGGCCGAGCGAGCAGCCCAAGAAGGAGGUGGCGGGAUCGGAGGCAAAUUGGGUUGCAUCGGCGUUUGAGGAGCCAUUUGGGACUGCUGCAAGGAUGUUGGUGAAGAGGAGGACCUACUGCCUCGAAAUGAACUCUUUCUGAAGGAGGUGGCUUAUCUAAGGAUGAAGAGACAGAUGCAUGAGGUAUUUUCUCUUUUUUCUCUUUUUUUACAGAAUCCUUUAAUAAGUUUUGAUUGUUUCGGAGAUCUGUGGUUGAAUGCUAGCUAGUAUAUUGUAAUUCUUCAUUCUGUUGCUUUUUAUCUUAGGUUCGAAGUUGAAUUGUCUCUUGUUUGUUUAUUCUUAUUGCUGUUUCAAUGAUAAUAAAUUACUCUGUCUUGGUUUCUGAAAAUCAUGAGCAAUUUCUCAUACCAAUUGCUUCUGAUUUUUCCCUAAAUUGCAUAUUGGAUUCCCAAUUACAUAAGAGGGGUGCUUGAAGCUAUUGACUCCCUUUGCAUCUGUCUUAUUCCAAAGAGUUUUUCCACUCUGAUUCCAAUUGCGUCCUGAUUUUGGAUCCACUAUGUUGUUAUCUUGCAGUCUGUCACAUUCCCUUCAAUUUUGUUGGUUCAUAAUUUUUUUACUCCAAAUGAAGAAGAAUCAGAAGAUGCUUGUUGUGAACUACUUGAUCUGUUCUUUAUCUUAUCUAAUGGGAAUUGAAGGGCACUGUGUAUCUCCAUUGCUAGAAAGAUUGGUGGAAAUUUCAUUCUGCUAUGAUGCAUCUGUUUGGUUUUUAUACUCCUUACGUUUCUCAGUUAACCAUUUUAUAUCUAAGCUGUUGUGAGAGUGACUCUUGACCAGUUUCCUGUUUGAAUACUAGUUUUUGGGAAAUUCUGUGCUGCAACUGCGACAUCACCAUCUGUUUUAAGCUUUGAUUUCUUGAAUCCGUUUUAUAUCAGUGAUCCUGACUUCCUUAUUCAAGUAUCUUUCAGGUAAGCGAAGGUAAGGUCCCAAAAUCGCAGAGUGCAAAUUUUGUCUUGAGCAGAGCAAGCUGCAAGCGAGUUGCCGGCAANCAUUCGGCGAGAUAAAUCAUCUUUCCGUACACCGAAUUUAUAUAGCAGGAUUUUUUAUGGGAAAAACUGAAGUUAGGAUUUUUAGAGGAAAAUGAAAGUUCGGGACAUUUUGUGGAAAACGCUGAAAGUUCGGGACAUAAAACAGUAUUAACCCAAAUUAAAAUCAUAUUUUGUUAAUUUAAUCUUCAAUAGUAUCUUUUCUAUCAAAUAAAAAUAUUAAUUAUGAUAUAAUUAUAUCUUACAUAUCAGACACAUAUAAAUUCCUCCCUGAAAUAAUACUCCCUCCGUCCGCCAAAAGUAUGGCACUUUGGCUGGGCACGGAGAUUAAUAAAAUUAGUGAUGAUGUUGAUGUAGUGGAGAAAGGGUCCCACCACUUUUUGAGAUGUGUGGUGGAGAUUGAAUUUGGGGUGGGUUUUUUGUAAAUAAAGAGUGUUUGUAAGGAUAAAAUAUAAAGGUGGAUGGUGGGACCAUUGCUUUAAAAGGAAAGUUGUAUACUUUUUGCGGACGCCCAAUAUAGUAAUUGUGCCAUACUUUUGGCGGACAGAUGAGAUAUUUUUUAUCUUACAAGUACACUGAUUGAGAUAUGAAGGGUAAUUUAAGUAUUUUGGAUAUAUGAUCAAGUUUUUAUAACAUGUGGACAUUUUUAUUUUUGACUUAACAAAGUGGGCAUAAAAAAAUCCGCCUCCGAAUUAUUAGUUACUAGAAAAUAAAAGAGAAGAAAAGAAAAAAGAAGAAAAGAAAAUACUACUCCCUCCGUCCACGAAUUAAAGCCCUACUUGCACUUAAAUUUUUGUCCACCAAUUAAAGCCCUAUUGUGCUUUAUGUACCUUAUUACUCUUCUUCUUUUCCUAUAUUUACUACCCUUUGCCACUAAUGGACCCACCUUACAACAACUUUAUUAUUUUUAUAUUCUAUAUUUAUUACACUUUAUCACUAAUGGACCCACCACACAACACCUUUAACACUUUAGUCAACCAAUUUAUCACUUUAGUCAACUACCCUUAUAUUUCAUCCACAACACCUUUUUUAGUUUUCUUAGUCUCCGUGCCCACCCUCAAAUGGGGCUUUAAUUCGUGGACGGAGGGAGUAUAAUAUAGAAAAAAUACAGUAUAAAAAUAAAACGGAACGACAGGCAGCAAUGUCGUUUGGGAAUUCAACUGUCCCAGGCUCCGCAUAUCUACUGUCAUAGGCUCAUAGCCAUAGGCACUUAAAAAGCAAAGAAAAAGAAAGAAAGAAAAAAACAAGAAGAAAAGAAAAACACGCACAACACACACCACACCACCAUUUUCCUCUUCCUCCUCCUUCACUCACUUCUCCCAAAUUCCCCCCACCUCAUUAAACUCCCACCCUAAUUCCACAAAUCCAAACUCUCUCCCUCUCUCUCUCAGAUCCAUUGAGUUUGUUUGACUCAAUUUCUUCCUUCACAUCUUUCUACCUAAACUCGCUUGAAAUCACCUUCCGAUUCUCGUGUAUCUGGUGCCAACUUGUUGGGGGUGUUUUGGCUCAAGAGCUCGAAUUGUCGCUGAAAGCUAUGGCUUCGAUUGGAGCAGAUCUGUGCCGCAAAAUCUACCCCGAGCCGGUCGACCACUUCGAUCGGUUGCCGGACUCUCUCAUCCUCUUGAUCUUCAAUAAAAUCGGAGACGUGAAGGCGCUGGGCCGAUGCUGCGUCGUUUCGAGGCGGUUCCACUCGCUCGUUCCCCAAGUCGACAACGUCGUAGUCCGCGUCGACUGCGUCAUCUCCGAUGACGAUCCUUCCUCCAACUCUUCUUCGUCCGCAUCCGGUUCCGCCGCCGGCGACAAGUCGCGCCACCCUAUCUCCUCCCUCUUCCGCAUCUUCUUCUCCGGGAUCUUCAAACCCUUGCAGUCCCUGUCUCAGCUCAUCACCCCCUCGGCGCGCCGGCUUCCUCUUUCGGAGGAUUUCGACUGCGAAGCGGAGCAGAGCACCGUCACACACCAUUCGCCGACGCAGGUCUUGAAGAAUUUCAACGAGAUCAAGCUGCUCAGGAUAGAGCUCCCCACGGGGGAGCUGGGGAUUGAUGAAGGCGUUUUGCUCAAAUGGAAGGCGGAAUUCGGCUCCACGCUUGACAGCUGCGUGAUUCUCGGAGCUUCGAGCGUCGUGCAGAGUGCAAAUAGCGGCUACAAUUGCCUGGGCGCUUGCAAUACCGCAAUUAGUGGUGAUAGUGGAGUGGAGAACGAUAAUGGUAGCAUACCGGAAUCGUUCUACACCAACGGAGGCCUGAAGCUGCGCGUGGUGUGGACCAUCAGCUCGUUGAUCGCCGCCUCCGCCAGGCAUUACCUUCUGCAGCCUAUAAUAGCGGAGCACAAGACGCUCUCGAGCUUGGUUUUGACGGAUGCUGAUGGGCAAGGGGUGCUGUCUAUGAAUAAGGAGCAGCUGGAGGAGCUGAGGGUGAAGCCUCUGUCAGCGUCGUCGGCUUCGAAGAGGACUCUUGUUCCGGCUCUCAACAUGCGUUUGUGGUAUGCUCCUCAUCUCGAAUUGCCUAACGGGGUGGUCUUGAAAGGAGCGACUUGGUGCGAUCCGGCCGAGCGAGCAGCCCAAGAAGGAGGUGGCGGGAUCGGAGGCAAAUUGGGUUGCAUCGGCAUUUGAGGAGCCAUUUGGGACUGCUGCAAGGAUGUUGGUGAAGAGGAGGACCUACUGCCUCGAAAUGAACUCUUUCUGAAGGAGGUGGCUUAUCUAAGGAUGAAGAGACAGAUGCAUGAGGUAUUUUCUCUUUUUUCUCUUUUUUUUACAGAAUCCUUUAAUAAGUUUUGAUUGUUUCGGAGAUCUGUGGUUGAAUGCUAGCUAGUAUAUUGUAAUUCUUCAUUCUGUUGCUUUUUAUCUUAGGUUCGAAGUUGAAUUGUCUCUUGUUUGUUUAUUCUUAUUGCUGUUUCAAU